UACAGAGGAGCCAAGCGUUGUCCGGAUUGACUGGGCGUAAAGCGCACGCAGGCGGUCUGGCGCGUGGGGUGUGAAAUCUGGCCGCUUAACGGCCAGGGCGCAUCCCAUACGGCCGGGACUGGAGCCUUGCAGAGGUCGGGUGGAAUUGCCGGGUGAGUGGUGAAAUGCGUAGAAGAUCGGGCAGGAACACCCAGGGGGAAAC
rnacentral:rRNA from 1 species